rnacentral:rRNA from 1 species
AGCCAGCCGCCGAAGGUGGGGUAGAUGACUGGGGUGAAGUCGUAACAAGGUAUCCGUACCGGAAGGUGCGGAUGGAUCACCUCCUUUCU